rnacentral:rRNA from 1 species
UAUGUGAUCGUCUCUCGCAUAUCAAUAAGCGGAGGAAAAGAAACUAACAAGGAUUCCCCUAGUAACGGCGAGUGAAGCGGGAAGAGCUCAAAUUUGAAAUCUUAAAGGGUUUCCCUUUACGAAUUGUAGUUUAAAGAAGUGUUUUCUGUUGAGGUUUUGGUAAAAGUUCUUUGGAAUAGGACAUCAUAGAGGGUGAGAAUCCCGUAUUUGACCUUUACUUUCAACUUUGUGAUACACUUUCAAAGAGUCGGAUUGUUUGGGAAUGCAGUCCAAAAUGGGUGGUAAAUUUCAUCUAAAGCUAAAUAUUGGCGAGAGACCGAUAGCGAACAAGUACCGUGAGGGAAAGAUGAAAAGAACUUUGAAAAGAGAGUUAAACAGUACGUGAAAUUGUCAAAAGGGAAGCGUUUGACACCAGUGUUGUUUUUCUGAAAAUCAAUUAAAGAACUGUUUAUGCUAAGUUGUUUAGACUUUAUCAGCUAACUGUUUAGUUUUGAGCUUUUCUUUAAUGCACUUUUCAGUUAACAAGUCAACAUCAAUUUCUUUUGCUGUAAAAAAGCUUGAGGAAGGUGGCUUGAGAUUCGUCUUAAGUGUUUAUAGCCUCUUGCCUAUGCAGUCGGAGAGAUUGAGGUCUGCAGCGUAGAUCCUUCGGGGCUAAAUGCAUUUGUGCUAAGUUAUAGCAUUUUAUAGACAACUUGUUGACUAUGAUUUGUCUUGUAGCUUACUCGCAUUAUGUUAUUUUACCUACGCUUAGGAUGUUGAUCUACAGAGCGAGAGU